rnacentral:rRNA from 1 species
UACGUAGGGUGCAAGCGUUAUCCGGAAUUAUUGGGCGUAAAGAGCUCGUAGGCGGUGUGUCACGUCGGCCGUGAAAACCUGCAGCUUAACUGUGGGCGUGCGGUCGAUACGGGCAUCACUGGAGUUCGGCAGGGGAGACUGGAAUUCCUGGUGUAGCGGUGAAAUGCGCAGAUAUCAGGAGGAACACCGGUGGCGAAGGCGGGUCUCUGGGCCGAUACUGACGCUGAGGAGCGAAAGCGUGGGGAGCAAACAGG